rnacentral:rRNA from 1 species
UCUUGGUCCAUUAGAGGAAGUAAAAGUCGUAACAAGGUCUCCGUUGGUGAACCAGCGGAGGGAUCAUUACCGAGUUUACAACUCCCAAACCCCUGUGAACAUACCUAUACGUUGCCUCGGCGGAUCAGCCCGCGCCCCGUAAAAAGGGACGGCCCGCCCGAGGACCCCUAAACUCUGUUUUUAGUGGAACUUCUGAGUAAAACAAACAAAUAAAUCAAAACUUUCAACAACGGAUCUCUUGGUUCUGGCAUCGAUGAAGAACGCAGCAAAAUGCGAUAAGUAAUGUGAAUUGCAGAAUUCAGUGAAUCAUCGAAUCUUUGAACGCACAUUGCGCCCGCCAGUAUUCUGGCGGGCAUGCCUGUUCGAGCGUCAUUUCAACCCUCAAGCUCAGCUUGGUGUUGGGACUCGCGGUAACCCGCGUUCCCCAAAUCGAUUGGCGGUCACGUCGAGCUUCCAUAGCGUAGUAAUCAUACACCUCGUUACUGGUAAUCGUCGCGGCCACGCCGUAAAACCCCAACUUCUGAAUGUUGACCUCGGAUCAGGUAGGAAUACCCGCUGAACUUAAGCAUAUCAAUAAGCCGGAGG